AGGGUGAGCUUGCGAUCGCCGUCCAUGGAGAAGAUGUGUCGAGCUCCUCGCGGCAGGUCCAUCCGGAGGGACAGCCUAUCCAAGAGGGCCUCCAGAGAUCCGAUAUCUCGUCCGGGCUUGAACCUGCAAUUUCGUCGUGGGAGCGAUCAAGGCCAAGGGGGUGGACACGCCACCUGCAGCCGAGAAGGGUACUAGUACUAACGCGAGGUGUCGGAGGCUCGUGCAACCAGAUAGUCAGCGUAGAAGAGGGGAACUGCGUCGGUAGACUCACCUGAAUUCGAUACCAGGAAAGUAACAUCCCGAUUUCACGCAUCGUUGAAAAGAACAGCACCGUUCGUCGAGCCUAACUGCCCCGAAAUAUUCGAGGUCUGUGCACCGAACUACACGUGUGCGUUGACCGACGUACGAUGACCGAACGGUGACUCGAUAACGUUUAUUAGGAAAACCCGUACAGGUGGUGUGUCCAGAGAGUCGACAGAGGCGUUUUGCGUGCAGAAGAUUGCGAUUUCUCGGAAGGAUUUCGUAUUUAAACAUUUCGAGCGUACAAGCGUGGCGCAUUUGCAUAGCCAGCGAAAUCUCGACUUCAUAAAUUUAAAACGCUACAACGACGGCCAAUUACAAUCUCGUCUGGAACGUUUGAGCCGUGAAACGCGUGUAGAAUCGACUUUUUGCCACCGUGACGGCUGUACAUAACCGACGGCACUUCGAUAAGUAUUGUCCGCGUGAAAUUUAAGCCCGACGGGGAAUAAUUAACCAAACGAGAUGCAGAAGUGGAGACAAAAAGAAGAAAGUAGAGCGGAACAAUUGUACAAUAUCGAAACGAAUUUUUUGAUAAUAGCGAUACUUACUUCUAAAAUAAUUUAAUCGGUCUUAGCCCAAUAUUCGUGUUUAUAAGCAGGUACUGUACGUUUUAUUUUCGCGUUUCAAUUUACUGAAAGCACACGCUACGACGUGACGUGUUCCACUUUUUUCUUUUCUUAUUUUUGUUAAUAAUACCGUGCCGUUUGCAUUUCUUCGCGAAAGAAACACCGCCUUAUCGGAUGGUAAGUAGGAUGAUUAGCGGCAUGAAGCUCAAGAAUUGCAGAAUGCACGAUACGAAUACUAGAUACAAAUGCCAAUUGCCGCAGAGGUCGAAUGAAACAGGCGAUAAUGUUCUCGCGAUCCGAGUCCAACUUCUCCUCUUAACGCGGAUUGAUCCUAGAAUAACUUGUGGUAUCGUUAGCGGUCUCUCCGGAAUGUCACGAAAAUACAAGAAACGCGCGUUUCCGAUUCUCGUAAACAAAACUAUCAAAUAAAAUGAUUGAAACUGUACGAUAAAAGGUUCGAGAUUCCAAGAACCAUCGCUUCCAUCCUAACGGAGAUUAUUUGUUACGCAGAGUAGGAAAUUACGGACAAUUUGUUGUAUCACGGCUGGUCAUCUUUAUAAUAUUUUCUUGGCACAGCGAAUAGUCGAUAGCACGGGUGAGGUUUGCGUGUUCCGUGUUCGCUAUGCGAAGGCGGCUGACCAGAUUCGUUCCUCGACCACUUAAGUAAUCGAGCGGCCGAGCGGCUCGUAUAUCACGUUGAGCGUGAAUCAGCAGGAUUCGUCGAACACCGAAUCCCAACUUUCCCUAAGGAUUGCUUCGAAUUCGGUAUCGAUUCGCUUGCUCGAAUCUUCUCUAACCCUUCCGCCUUCGAGUCCCUCCGCUUCAACCUGAAUUAAGAAGCAAGCAAUUUCAACGGACGACGUACAAGCGAAAGAAUUCGUAAACGAAUAAUUAACGAGGUGGUUCCGAUCAGUGUUUGCAACUCAAGUUCUUAGGGACUAUCGCAUUGAUUUUAAUGAUAAAGACCGUUAGGAAAAAGAAAAGCAACGUUCCGGAUUCGACGGAUUCAUCGGCUUUCCUAGCUGUGAAAAGAGAAAGGCGGAAAAGGCAAACACCUUCCCUUCGGUAUCGACUUUGCUGUAAAGCUGGAAGAGGCCGUUGCCCGAAAGCCUGUGCCUGACCGCUCUUUUUCCUUUCCAACUCGAGAAAGCGUCGUAAAACGUCGUGACCGAUGCAGAUAAGAAAGUCUCGACGAUAUCCGAGCUUUCCCUUCCCUCUUCCACUUCAUCGUAGACCCGCCUCCGUUCCGUCAUAAAUGUCACGAAGGUGCGUGCUUGAAAUCCUGAAUUUAAUCGUCGCUCGUUAUUAAGCAAACACGGAGGGGUGUAAAGAGCAAUGGGCAUUUUAGGCUUUUUCUCGUGCCGAGAUGCGUCUCGUUUCUUCGAGGAACUCCUCAGCAGCCAAGGCGAUUUCCAAAUCUCGGAACGCAAGAAUAUCGAGACAAAAUCGAGUUCGUCACACAAAAAUCAAUUAUUUUUAACGUACUUGCAGCACUUCCAAAAAAUUAACAACCCUCUCUCUUAUUUAAUAGCAUCUAACCCAUUUACCUAAUAACAGCGCAAGCAUGCAAGCUCUACCUGUAUAAUUAUCAUUGCAGCGUUAUCACUCGAAUAUUACACCCAAUCCAUAAGACGGAGUUAUCAGGUAUGAUCUGGAACACAGCUAGCGUUUAUCGAGAGACAUCCAAGACCUUGUACGUCAGAGUCGACAAAGCAUAGAACCAUUAAUGCGGAAUACAUUUCGUCGUAAAGCAAGAUAAGCACGGUACAUGGCACAAGGAUAUUUUUCAUCGCGCAUCGAGGAAACAUCGUGUACAUACAUCAUAAGGAUUAUCAAAAACGUCUCAACGAUAUCCUCGGUCCUAACGCGAUGCUAUUCGUGCGGAGAUUUUUAUAUUUGAAACUUUUCACUUUUCCGUGUUACCAGUCCAUGAAAAACGAUACAAUAUCAAAUUAAUAGAAACACAAAUUACUGUUGGUAUUUGCUAGUUGGUCCAUCAGGAAACACCUAAUAAUUAUAUGAUCAACGUUUAACCAAAUACCAUUAUCGGUACAUUUAAGAAAGCAUCAUUUGCUUGAUCUUGUUUUUCAUUUCAGACAAUGUCUAAAUGUCCUCGCCAGGGCACAUUUUGCGAACCUCGGCCGAAGGACAACACCUCCGAGUCUUUGGUGCCGUGCGUGCUUGGGAUUU